rnacentral:rRNA from 1 species
AUUCCUACGGGAGGCAGCAGUGAGGAAUAUUGGUCAAUGGACGAAAGUCUGAACCAGCCAUGCCGCGUGAAGGAUGACGGCCCUACGGGUUGUAAACUUCUUUUGUGUAGGAAGAAACCCCUCUACGUGUAGAGGGCUGACGGUACUAUACGAAUAAGCACCGGCUAACUCCGUGCCAGCAGCCGCGGUAAUACGGAGGGUGCAAGCGUUAUCCGGAAUUAUUGGGUUUAAAGGGUGCGUAGGUGGAAAUUUAAGUCAGUGGUGAAAGCCCACAGCUCAACUGUGGAACUGCCAUUGAUACUGAAUUUCUUGAAUCUGAUUGAAGUAGGCGGAACAUGACAUGUAGCGGUGAAAUGCUUAGAUAUGUCAUAGAACACCGAUAGCGAAGGCAGCUUACUAAGUCAGUAUUGACACUGAGGCACGAAAGCGUGGGGAGCGAAUAGGAUUAGAUACCCUGGUAGUCCACGCUGUAAACGAUGAUUACUCGCUAUUGGCGAUACACUGUCAGUGGCUAAGCGAAAGUGAUAAGUAAUCCACCUGGGGAGUACGAUCGCAAGGUUGAAACUCAAAGGAAUUGACGGAAU